UAAACUCAAAUGAAUUGACGGGGGCCCGCACAAGCGGUGGAGCAUGUGGUUUAAUUCGAAGCAACGCGAAGAACCUUACCAGGUCUUGACAUCCUUUGACCACUCUAGAGAUAGAGCUUCCCCUUCGGGGGCAAAGUGACAGGUGGUGCAUGGUUGUCGUCAGCUCGUGUCGUGAGAUGUUGGGUUAAGUCCCGCAACGAGCGCAACCCUUAUUGUUAGUUGCCAUCAUUCAGUUGGGCACUCUAGCAAGACUGCCGGUGACAAACCGGAGGAAGGUGGGGAUGACGUCAAAUCAUCAUGCCCCUUAUGACCUGGGCUACACACGUGCUACAAUGGGAAGUACAACGAGUUGCGAAGUCGCGAGGCUAAGCUAAUCUCUUAAAGCUUCUCUCAGUUCGGAUUGCAGGCUGCAACUCGCCUGCAUGAAGCCGGAAUCGCUAGUAAUCGCGGAUCAGCACGCCGCGGUGAAUACGUUCCCGGGCCUUGUACACACCGCCCGUAC
rnacentral:rRNA from 1 species